UCUGGCUAAAAGAGACCAAACAUGGAGAGGAAAACCCUGGCUUUCACUGAGAAUCCUUAGGACCACAGAGAUCUGGCUCUACAUAGUGACCAAUCCUGUAAGAUGAGUGAAGAAAGAAAAUGAAACCAGCUGGUGAAAGGGCUGAUGGAAACUUUUUCAGAGUUUCUGCCAGAAGUUCACUGCCAAGAAGCAAACUGGAAUUCUGACUCAUCUGAAGCUCCCAUAAUUGAACGGAAGAAACUCCACCCCUAAAUAGAAAAACAGUGUUGUUUGAAUAAAACUUUGGCACUGCUACAAGCUGAACAUGGACAUGAGGUGUUGGAAAAGUCCAGGCAGAAAAAUAUUGGUAAAAGAUGGCAUUUCUGUGUCCUUCUCUUCAGCACUUCUGCCAAACCUGUAAUGAUAUCCUGAACAAGAUCAUGAGUGAAACAUUGACAGAAGCUGCAUUGAGGACUCAUCAUCCAGUUAUGUGAAGUUUAUCCCAUUUAGGCAGCAGGUCCCACAA